rnacentral:rRNA from 1 species
GACGAACGCUGGCGGCGUGCUUAACACAUGCAAGUGGAGCGACGAACCGGGGCUUGCCCCGGGGCAGAGCCGCGAACGGGUGAGUAACACGUGGGUAACCCACCCGACUGACCGGGACGAACCCGACGGAAACUACGGGCGUAAUACCGGAUGUGCUCCUUGACCUCGAGGUCAAGGCGUAAAGAUAGCUUCGGCCUUCGCAUCGGACGGGCCCGCGGCCCAUUAGCUUGUUGGUGGGGUAAAGGCCUACCAAGGCGACGANGGGUAGCUGGUCUGAGAGGACGAUCAGCCACACUGGGACUGAGACACGGCCCAGACUCCUACGGGAGGCAGCAGUGGGGAAUCUUGCGCAAUGCGCGAAAGCGUGACGCAGC